rnacentral:lncRNA from 1 species
AGAGAUGGGGUUUCACCAGUUUGCAGGAUGGUCUCUAUCUCCUGACCUUGUGAUCCACCCCACCUCAGCCUCCCAAAGUGCUGGGAUUGCAGGUGCGAGCCACGGGUCCAGCCUCUCAGGCGAUUUUCAUACCUGCAUACUUCAUCACUACUUCUGUAAACAGCAAGGAGGGUAGUAUUAUCUGUCAGAUUUCCAGAGCUCUGGUCUCUGUAAAGCCCUCUUCCUCCUCAAUAUUCUGCCUAUGAAUUCUAGCCACAUGGCCUUGCCCAGACUCACAGUUCUUCUUCAACUCAGGAAGAUCUCUGAGCUCCAUCUGCAUUCUUUCUUCCUGUGCUGUGGCCUGGAAAGUUUUCUAAGGUGUUUGGGAGCUGAGUGCCACGUGCUGACAUCACUAAGAUCAAUACAGCAAACUCUGAAAGAUGGACAGAGAGACAGGAGAUCGUCCUUUGUAAUUCAGUGUGAUCUGUGCUGCAAUAGAGAUGGAAGAGUGUUCUGAUCGGCUGGAAAACAACGCACAUGGGAAGCUGUACAGAAAUGAGUGGGGAAAGGUGCGGAAUCUGAGGCACAGAGAGAUUAAGUAUGUUGCCCAGGGCCACGCACCAAGUAUGUG